GUUAGGCUGAGACGCUGAAAGUCCGGAUUUAAAGUGCGAAAAUUAAGCCAUUGAAUCUGCCUGUCCAUGACGUACAAAGACACACUAUGAGCCAGUAUGAUCCGACCAGACCUUACAUCAGCAUUGAGGAGUUCAGGAGUUGUCGGAGAAGAAAGAGGCUGAUUGAAGCGGGACAGAUGACAUGGAUCCAUCCUUCCACAGCCAGGAGCGCACCGACCUGUGUCCCACACUUCAUAUAAGACUGGAAGCUACACUGGAUCUCACAGCUACACACCACAGACGUCUACACACUGGGGCAGAUUCAGACAGAGUCCCACAAAGA